UACGUAGGGCGCAAGCGUUAUCCGGAAUUAUUGGGCGUAAAGAGCUCGUAGGCGGUUUGUCGCGUCUGCCGUGAAAGUCCGGGGCUCAACUCCGGAUCUGCGGUGGGUACGGGCAGACUAGAGUGAUGUAGGGGAGACUGGAAUUCCUGGUGUAGCGGUGAAAAUGCGCAGAUAUCAGGAGGAACACCGAUGGCGAAGGCAGGUCUCUGGGCAUUAACUGACGCUGAGGAGCGAAAGCAUGGGGGAGCGAACAGG
rnacentral:rRNA from 1 species